UACGGGGGGGGCAAGCGUUGUUCGGAAUUACUGGGCGUAAAGGGCUCGUAGGCGGCCAACUAAGACAGACGUGAAAUCCCUCGGCUUAACCGGGGAACUGCGUCUGAUACUGGUUGGCUUGAAUCCGGGAGAGGGAUGUGGAAUUCCAGGUGUAGCGGUGAAAUGCGUAGAUAUCAGGAGGAACCCCGGUGGCGAAGGCGGGUCUCUGGGCCGAUACUGACGCUGAGGAGCGAAAGCGUGGGGAGCGAACAGG
rnacentral:rRNA from 1 species